UGGGGAAUAUUGCACAAUGGGCGCAAGCCUGAUGCAGCCAUGCCGCGUGUGUGAAGAAGGCCUUCGGGUUGUAAAGCACUUUCAGCGAGGAGGAAGGGUAGUGUGUUAAUAGCACAUUGCAUUGACGUUACUCGCAGAAGAAGCACCGGCUAACUCCGUGCCAGCAGCCGCGGUAAUACGGAGGGGGAAGGAGUUAAUCGGAAUUACGGGGCGUAAAGCGCACGCAGGCGGUUUGUUAAGUCAGAUGUGAAAUCCCCGCGCUUAACGUGGGAACUGCAUUUGAAACUGGCAAGCUAGAGUCUUGUAGAGGGGGGUAGAAUUCCAGGUGUAGCGGUGAAAUGCGUAGAGAUCUGGAGGAAUACCGGUGGCGAAGGCGGCCCCCUGGACAAAGACUGACGCUCAGGUGCGAAAGCGUGGGGAGCAAACA
rnacentral:rRNA from 1 species